CGAACGGAGCACCCUUGAAGGAGUUUUCGGACAACGGAGAGGAAUGCUUAGUGGCGGACUGGUGAGUAACGCGUGAGGAACCUGCCUUUCGGAGGGGGACAACAGUUGGAAACGACUGCUAAUACCGCAUGAUACAUUUGGGCCGCAUGGUCUGAAUGUCAAAGAUUUAUCGCCGAAAGAUGGCCUCGCGUCUGAUUAGCUAGUUGGUGGGGUAACGGCCCACCAAGGCGACGAUCAGUAGCCGGACUGAGAGGUUGGCCGGCCACAUUGGGACUGAGAUACGGCCCAGACUCCUACGGGAGGCAGCAGUGGGGAAUAUUGGGCAAUGGACGCAAGUCUGACCCAGCAACGCCGCGUGAAGGAAGAAGGCUUUCGGGUUGUAAACUUCUUUUAAGGGGAAAGAGCAGAAGACGGUACCCCUUGAAUAAGCCACGGCUAACUACGUGCCAGCAGCCGCGGUAAUACGUAGGUGGCAAGCGUUGUCCGGAUUUACUGGGUGUAAAGGGCGUGCAGCCGGAGAGGCAAGUCAGAUGUGAAAUCCGCGGGCUCAACUCGCGAACUGCAUUUGAAACUGCUUCCCUUG
rnacentral:rRNA from 1 species